rnacentral:rRNA from 1 species
GAUGAACGCUGGCGGCGUGCUUAACACAUGCAAGUCGAACGAUGAAGCCCAGCUUGCUGGGUGGAUUAGUGGCGAACGGGUGAGUAACACGUGAGUAACCUGCCCUUGACUCUGGGAUAAGCCUGGGAAACUGGGUCUAAUACUGGAUAUGACUUCUCAUCGCAUGGUGGGGGGUGGAAAGAUUUAUUGGUCUUGGAUGGACUCGCGGCCUAUCAGCUUGUUGGUGAGGUAAUGGCUCACCAAGGCGACGACGGGUAGCCGGCCUGAGAGGGUGACCGGCCACACAGGGACUGAGACACGGCCCAGACUCCUACGGGAGGCAGGAGUGGGGACUAUAGCACAAUGGGCGCCAGCCUGAUGCAGCGACGCCGGGUGAGGGAUGACGGCCUUCGGGUUGUAAACCUCUUUCAGUAGGGAAGAAGCGAGAGUGACGGUACCUGCAGAAGAAGCGCCGGCUAACUACGU